rnacentral:rRNA from 1 species
AACGAACGCUGGCGGCAUGCCUAACACAUGCAAGUCGAACGAGACCUUCGGGUCUAGUGGCGCACGGGUGCGUAACGCGUGGGAAUCUGCCCUUGGGUUCGGAAUAACAGCGAGAAAUUGCUGCUAAUACCGGAUGAUGACGUAAGUCCAAAGAUUUAUCGCCCAAGGAUGAGCCCGCGUAGGAUUAGCUAGUUGGUGAGGUAAAGGCUCACCAAGGCGACGAUCCUUAGCUGGUCUGAGAGGAUGAUCAGCCACACUGGGACUGAGACACGGCCCAGACUCCUACGGGAGGCAGCAGUGGGGAAUAUUGGACAACGGGCGAAAGCCUGAUCCAGCAAUGCCGCGUGAGUGAUGAAGGCCUUAGGGUUGUAAAGCUCUUUUACCCGGGAUGAUAAUGACAGUACCGGGAGAAUAAGCUCCGGCUAACUCCGUGCCAGCAGCCGCGGUAAU